rnacentral:rRNA from 1 species
GAUGAACGCUGGCGGCGUGCCUAAUACAUGCAAGUCGAGCGAACGGACGAGAAGCUUGCUGCUUUGACGUUAGCCGAGGACGGGUGAGUAACGCGUGUAUAACCUACCUAUAAGACUGGUAUAACUUCGGGAAUCCGGAGCUAAUCCCGGAUGAUAUCUUGCACCGCGUGGGUCAAUGGUAAAAUACGGUGUUUCUGGCACGUCUAGAUGGAUCUGCGCUGCAUUAGGUGGUUGGGAGGGUAACGGCUUACCAAGGCAACGAUGCAUAGACGACGUGAUAGGGUGGUAGGCGACACUGGAACGGAGACACGGUCCAGACUCCUACGGGAGGCAGCAGUAGGGAAUCUUACGCAAUGGGCGAAAGCCUGACGGAGCAACGCGGCGUGAGUGAUGGAAGUCUUGGGAGCGUAAAACUCUGUUAUUAGGGAAGAACAUAUGUGUAAGUAACUGUGCACAUCUUGACGGUACCUAGUCAGAAAGCAACGGCUAACUACGUG